AUCUGUGUCAACUGUUCUGAUCAGUAUUCUGCUGUGGCCUUUCUGGGAAGCAUCUAAGGCGUGCAACAACAUUCUAGUAUCAGCUUCCUCGUGUGAACAUGGACUUAACAAUUCAUAGCUGUGUUCUGCAGUAUUUCCAAGGGCGUUGAUUUUGUCAGUUACUACGAUCUCAUUGUCGAUACCAGCACUGGUUAUUUUAUCAGCGAGAAAAUGAAACAACUCAAUUUUAUUUUCGUCUAGGCGCAAGAAUUCCUG
rnacentral:lncRNA from 1 species